UACGUAGGGGGGCAAGCGUUGUCCGGAUUUAUUGGGCGUAAAGAGCGUGUAGGCGGCCAGGUAGGUCCGCUGUGAAAACUCGAGGCUCAACCUCGAGACGUCGGCGGAAACCAUCUGGCUAGAGUCCGGAAGAGGAGAGUGGAAUUCCUGGUGUAGCGGUGAAAUGCGCAGAUAUCAGGAAGAAUAUCCGUGGCGAAGGCGGCUCUCUGGGACGGUACUGACGCUGAGACGCGAAAAGCGUGGGGAGCGAACAGG
rnacentral:rRNA from 1 species